CCUACGGGAGGCUGCAGUGGGGAAUAUUGCGCAAUGGGCGCAAGCCUGACGCAGCAACGCCGCGUGAAGGAAGAAGUCUUUCGGUUUGUAAACCUCUUUUCUCAGGGACGAAGAAAGUGACGGUACCUGAGGAAUAAGCCACGGCGAACUACGUGCCAGCAGCCGCGGUACUAAGUAGGGGGCAAGCGUUAUCCGGAUUUAUUGGGUGUAAAGGGCGUGUAGGCGGCAGCGCAAGUCAGAUGUGAAAUCUCAGGGCUCAACCCUGAGCCUGUAUUUGAAACUGUGUUUCUUGAGUGCUGGAGAGGUAAUCGGAAUUCCGAGUGUAGCGGUGAAAUGCGUAGAUAUACGGAGGAACACCAGUGGCGAAGGCGGAUUACUGGACAGUAACUGACGCUGAGGCGCGAAAGCGUGGGGAGCAAACAGGAUUAGAUACCCGAGUAGUC
rnacentral:rRNA from 1 species